rnacentral:rRNA from 1 species
AACGAACGCUGGCGGCGUGCCUAACACAUGCAAGUCGUGCGAGAAAGUUCCUUCGGGAGCGAGUAAAGCGGCGCACGGGUGAGUAACACGUAGGUAACCUGCCCCCCAGUCUGGAACAACUAGAGGAAACUCUAGCUAAUGCCGGAUGAGACCACGAUCCCUUCGGGGGUUGCGGCCAAAGAUGGCCUCUACUUGUAAGCUAUCGCUGAGGGAUGGGCCUGCGGGCCAUUAGCUUGUUGGUGAGGUAACGGCUCACCAAGGCUGUGAUGGCUAGCUGGUCUGAGAGGAUGACCAGCCACACUGGUACUGAGACACGGCCCAGACUCCUACGGGAGGCAGCAGUGGGGAAUAUUGCGCAAUGGGCGAAAGCCUGACGCAGCGACGCCGCGUGGGUGAUGAAGGCCUU